UACGUAGGGGGCAAGCGUUGUCCGGAAUUACUGGGCGUAAAGGGCGCGUAGGCGGCACGGCAAGUCAGGAGUGAAAGCCCGGGGCUCAACCCCGGAAUGUCUUUUGAAACUGCCGAGCUAGAGUGCGGAAGAGGCAACUGGAAUUCCCAGUGUAGCGGUGAAAUGCGUAGAUAUUGGGAAGAACACCUGAGGCGAAGGCGGGUUGCUGGGCCGACACUGACGCUGAGGCGCGAAAGCCAGGGGAGCGAACGGG
rnacentral:rRNA from 1 species